UCAUCAUGCUACCUUUUUGGCAAGUUAUAUACAUAUCAAUUUUGAUAUAUACUAACUUUGUUCUUGUAAAUCAAAUAUGGUCUAUUGUUUUUCAUUUACGGGGAAUACAUUUUUAUAUCACAAUGCCUAGAAAAAACAAUCAUAGACUUGUAGAUAGACAUUAUGAUGAAGUAGAGCCUUAUAUAGAGCAAUUAAUGAACACCCCAAAUUGUUGUGAACCCAAGUCAAAUGAAUUGAAAAAUUCAGGUGGCCUAAUAGGAUUAUCGUACAUGACAAGGUAUAAGACUAGAGAUGCCUUGAUAAAAGCAGACCAACUCGAAUACCAAGGGACCAAUGGACUGGUCUUGUCUCUUAUUGGCUUUUUGAUAAAGGAAAGAAGCGCAACCAAGCAAAUAGAAAUAAUAGGACAAAGCAAAAGAUGCCUCACACUAGAGGAUCCAAAAGUAUUGGAACCUUAAUGGUUGAAAAGGCCAUAGAUGGGAUAGAGCCUACAAGGGCAGAAAUCUUUAUAUUAACUCAUCAAAGACGUAAAGAUGGAAGACCAUUGGAUGACGUGUCUGCAAAAAUAGUGGAUGUGAUGCAAGAAAAAUUGAACAAUGGUGAAACAUCUAAUGAAAAACCUAUUGGUAGUGUUGCUUAGGAAGGAGAUGUGUAUUCCCAAGUAUUGGGGGCUGAAAGAAGUGGCUAUGUUCGUGGCUUAGGACUUGGUCCAACACCUUCUUUGUUGUGGGGUUCUAAAUCUUCCAUAGGAAGUACUUUUGCUGAUAAUAUAUCUAAUGAGGUAGUACAAAGAUUAGAGCAAGAGGUGAAGAUGUUAAAGGAGUUAAAAGAAAAACAUGAUGAAGAAAUGAAUUUGAUGAAACAAAAUCAAGAUAAGUUACUUUCAGAACUAUCUUUUAUUAGAAAAUUCAUGUACAAACAUUUUCCAAUGGAGCUAUCUAUGCCUCAAAAGUAAUGGAAGCUCAUUUGGACAACUAUGAUUCAAAUGCUUUUAAACUUUUUUUUUUCUUUUCAAAUUUUGAUUGUAAAAGACAAUGUUAUUUUCUUAUGUUUUAAUUAGGUCUUUGGUACUAAUAUUGGCCAGGAAAAAGCACCAGAAAUGCCACACAUGUCCUUUGGUGCUCAUGAAUCACAAUUACCUACAAAAUCUACUGCAACUAUGAAAACAGAGGCUAACAAAAACAGUAUGGUUCAAGCUGGUAACCUCACUUCCUUGCUCAAGCUUCUUAGAAAAGAUAAUGAUAAAGUUGUUCGCAUACUAGCAGCAAAGGCAAUUGCUAAUGUGUCCAUGAAUGAAUUAUAACUUUCGAGUCCUUGCAUCUUGAACACAAACAAGCACAACAUCUUUGGAAUAUCCUCUGCCAUACAAAGAGAAAGGGAGCAUAGCUCGUGAUGCUGAUAUGUAUAAUUAACUGGAUUUAAUUGUAAUUGAUGAAGACCUUUUAGAUAUUUUAGCAAAUAGCACUAGAUCAUUAAAGACUUUGCUUUCUUUGGGGAUAUGACUAUCUUAGAAAUGAAAUUAUGUAAUUUCUUUGGAUCAUGACAUCAUUGACUAUUCAUUUUAUCUUUUUAAUGGUUUC